rnacentral:rRNA from 1 species
AGUGAACGCUGGCGGUAGGCCUAACACAUGCAAGUCGAACGGCAGCACAGUAAGAGCUUGCUCUUACGGGUGGCGAGUGGCGGACGGGUGAGGAAUACAUCGGAAUCUACUUUUUCGUGGGGGAUAACGUAGGGAAACGUACGCUAAUACCGCAUACGACCUACGGGUGAAAGCAGGGGAUCUUCGGACCUUGCGCGAUUGAAUGAGCCGAUGUCGGAUUAGCUAGUUGGCGGGGUAAAGGCCCACCAAGGCGACGAUCCGUAGCUGGUCUGAGAGGAUGGUCAGCCACACUGGAAGUGAGACACGGCCCACACUCCUACGGUGGGAAGCAGUGGGGAAUAUUGGACAAGGGGGGCAAGCCUGAUCCAGCCAUACCGCGUAGGUGAAGAAGGCCUUCGGGUUGUAAAGCCCUUUUGUUGGGAAAGAAAAGCAGCAGUUUAAUACCCCGCUGUUCUGACGGUACCCAAAGAAUAAGCACCGGCUAACUUCGUG